rnacentral:rRNA from 1 species
GUGGGGAAUCUUGCGCAAUGGGCGAAAGCCUGACGCAGCCAUGCCGCGUGAAUGAUGAAGGUCUUAGGAUUGUAAAAUUCUUUCACCGGGGACGAUAAUGACGGUACCCGGAGAAGAAGCUCCGGCUAACUUCGUGCCAGCAGCCGCGGUAAUACGAAGGGGGCUAGCGUUGCUCGGAAUUACUGGGCGUAAAGGGCGCGUAGGCGGACAGCUUAGUCAGAGGUGAAAGCCCAGGGCUCAACCUUGGAAUUGCCUUUGAUACUGGAUGUCUUGAGUUUGGGAGAGGUGAGUGGAACUCCGAGUGUAGAGGUGAAAUUCGUAGAUAUUCGGAAGAACACCAGUGGCGAAGGCGACUCACUGGCCCAAUACUGACGCUGAGGCGCGAAAGCGUGGGGAGCAAACAGGAUUAGAAACCCCUGUAGUCC